rnacentral:lncRNA from 1 species
AAGGACCUGGGGGGACAGAAACACCCAGGAAAGUCCACAGGUCAGCGCCUGGGCCCGCCUGGCCGUGGGACAUUGCUCGGCCGAGUUUAUCCUCAUAAACGCUGACGUGUGCUAGAAGAUACGAUAUUAGUUUCAUAAACAACAGCUUCUUUUUUGCAAACGAUACCCACAAGUCCUAUUGCCACUUUUCAUUGCUGCAGCAGCUAGUCAGAUGACAACUGGGUGAGAGCUUGGUCUCGAGUGUUUCCUGUGAGGCCGGAAUAUUGCUCUGAUUCCUCAGGGGUGACUCAGCACUCCGGUGGGAAAUAUGUGACCUCAUUUGCAUUUCCUAAUUGAAUUGCUAUCAGCUUUCCUGCAAGACUGCACCAAAAAACAGUCCUUCCAGAUUCCAGCACUGCCUGCAUUGCCCACAGAAAGGCUGCUUUUAAAUAGUUGCUAAGAGAGGGUGACAAAAGAAGGAGAAGAGUUGCCAAAUUUUUAUGGUUCAUCUAACUGUAAAGCUGUCAGUUUUACCCAGCUCCACAGAGUCGCUAAAAUAAUGGACAGAGGAGGCGGCACUUGAAGAAACCUCGACAUAAGAGAAAUGAAAUUUACAGAGCCAGGAAAUUAGGGGUCCCCAUGCGCCUGCCCUGGCAAAAUUUGCUUCCAGGCUCCUCUCAAGAAACACUGCCCUGGGACUCCCAGCGCUCUGUAAACUGAUGCUUUGAAGGAGGCCAUUUGUUUCUCCAGAACCUUCUGCCAGCAGAACUCUUGCUCACCACGUGCCCCCAUCAGAACUCCCACCUUCUCUAAACACAGUUAGGUAGCCCUCUGCAUGCAUUUGUUUAAAAAAAUUAAAUUGUGAGUAAUAGACUGUAAGUACAACAGCGUACAGAACACCAGCUAAAAAAAUGAUGGCAGAAUGAGCACCUGUCUUGCCACAAGACUCCCUCCCACCCUCUGGUGUCCCCCAGCUUGGCUUCCUGCUGCCCCCUGAAAGGAACCCUCAACCGACUGUAACUCUGCACCUCAGUGCCACCCGAAUUUGGACUUCAUGGGAGUGCGGUCACUCGGCUGACACGUGUUCCUGCUGCUGGGCACCUGCCUGCUCUCCUUCUUUGGUGCCCCGUCCAAUCACGAGAAAGCUCCAGGGCUUUGUGACAAGAUACAGUCCCAACAUCCUGUUUCGGUCUAACCAUAACUUGGGUGUUCCGCUCCAAACACGACCUCUGUGUCUGAACACUCAGCCCACUAGCAUUUGUGAUUCUGAGUCCUCAGCCGCGGAAAAGCAGGAGGAAAACAGGAGUUGUCACUGGUAGAGAAGGAAGCAGCCCAAGGGACAAAGGUCAGGAUACGGUUACGCAAAUGGUGCUGGCCCACACCCUCCUGGAGAGAGGCCUGGAAGAUGGGGGGGUCAUUCAGAGACCCCAGUUGUUGGGGGGACCUGCUUUCCAGGAGAAGAAAGGAGCUUCAGAACCUUCAAUACCUGCUCCUGUGCCCCACCAGGCUGUGGCCUCUUUCAUAAGGAAAGAGCAAUAAAGUCUUCAGGAGAGAAUUAACAUCCAAUGGAUUCCCAGAAAACUUUUCCCUCGAUGUACCAGCAAACACCUACAAUGCCCUGAAAAGCCACCUCUGUGACCCCAAUGCAGAUCACACGUCCUGUCCCAGCCCCUGCAGCCUCCACGCGGCAGGUGUGCUGCCAGGCACGGGAAGGCAGCACUGGCGAGUAGAACUGGACUUCAGGGAUCUGUCACCCUCAUCCAGCAGGGUUGGUUCUUCCCGAGGCUGGGAGGAUGCCAAGCCUGGUGGAGGAUGGGGGCGGUGGUGUGGUGUGGGGAGCUUCUGACUUGCACAUCUUGAGGGAACCUUCUGCAGCUGAUGUGUGAACUGGACCCCAGGCGGUGCCUCUGAGGAAUCCCCAAGGCUAUGGCCCCUCAGGUCCUGCUGGGGUGCUGGCCCCCACCUCUGCCUCAGGAUGCAGGGGUUCUGCAGGGAAGCCACAGACCAGCCUGCUGCCUUGGCCCCUAGGGACACUGCGGCCCCAGAAAGAACUGUGGGGGACAAAAGAGUUGUUUCUUGGGGGAGAAAACACCUGUGAGGAAAUGCAGGUGCCACAGAGGGAAAUCCUCCUGGGGAGGAGGGUACCUGUUCCAUCCUCGGCCGACACGGGACUGCCUGGUGCCCGGUACCCACAGCCACUACCUGCCGCACACAUCUCUCCAUGGUUUGCUAAUUACUUCCAUUAGUUUUAAACAAACUUCACAAGAGACAGAAGGGUCCAGAGAGAAAUUAAA